GGAUGUGAGGGCCAUCUGGCUGGGACAUCUGUCACUCUAUUGAUCACCAGGGUUGAUUCAGCUUUGCUGGCUGGCUAGGCAGGUGUCCUCUUCCUCCCUCAAUGAUCCAUGUGCAUCCCUCCCAAAGCUGCAUGCUUGCUCAAAGAGGACGACCACCCCCUAUAGAGGAGGCCCAUUCCUCAGUCAAGGGUAUAUGAGUACCUGCACUCCCCUGCUAGAACCUCCAAACAAGCUCUCAAGAAGACAUGACUUCUUUCCCUAUGUGUCUGUCAAUGGGACAAGCACUGAGAGGAGGUAGAAAUGAUAAGAUGUAGACUCAACCUUUU
rnacentral:snRNA from 1 species